rnacentral:rRNA from 1 species
GCUUAACACAUGCAAGUCGAGGGGCAUCAGGAAGAAAGCUUGCUUUCUUUGCUGGCGACCGGCGCACGGGUGAGUAACACGUAUCCAACCUGCCCUUUACUCGGGGAUAGCCUUUCGAAAGAAAGAUUAAUACCCGAUGGCAUAAUGAUUCCGCAUGGUUUCAUUAUUAAAGGAUUCCGGUAAAGGAUGGGGAUGCGUUCCAUUAGGUUGUUGGUGAGGUAACGGCUCACCAAGCCUUCGAUGGAUAGGGGUUCUGAGAGGAAGGUCCCCCACAUUGGAACUGAGACACGGUCCAAACUCCUACGGGAGGCAGCAGUGAGGAAUAUUGGUCAAUGGGCGCUAGCCUGAACCAGCCAAGUAGCGUGAAGGAUGAAGGCUCUAUGGGUCGUAAACUUCUUUUAUAUAAGAAUAAAGUGCAGUAUGUAUACUGUUUUGUAUGUAUUAUAUGAAUAAGGAUCGGCUAACUCCGUGCCAGCAGCCGCGGUAAUACGGAGGAUCCGAGCGUUAUCCGGAUUUAUUGGGUUUAAAGGGAGCGUAGGUGGACUGGUAAGUCAGUUGUGAAAGUUUGCGGCUCAACCGUAAAAUUGCAGUUGAUACUGUCAGUCUUGAGUACAGUAGAGGUGGGCGGAAUUCGUGGUGUAGCGGUGAAAUGCUUAGAUAUCACGAAGAACUCCGAUUGCGAAGGCAGCUCACUGGACUGCAACUGACACUGAUGCUCGAAAGUGUGGGUAUCAAACAGGAUUAGAUACCCUGGUAGUCCACACAGUAAACGAUGAAUACUCGCUGUUUGCGAUAUACAGUAAGCGGCCAAGCGAAAGCAUUAAGUAUUCCACCUGGGGAGUACGCCGGCAACGGUGAAACUCAAAGGAAUUGACGGGGGCCCGCACAAGCGGAGGAACAUGUGGUUUAAUUCGAUGAUACGCGAGGAACCUUACCCGGGCUUAAAUUGCAGUGGAAUGAUGUGGAAACAUGUCAGUGAGCAAUCACCGCUGUGAAGGUGCUGCAUGGUUGUCGUCAGCUCGUGCCGUGAGGUGUCGGCUUAAGUGCCAUAACGAGCGCAACCCUUAUCUUUAGUUACUAACAGGUUAUGCUGAGGACUCUAGAGAGACUGCCGUCGUAAGAUGUGAGGAAGGUGGGGAUGACGUCAAAUCAGCACGGCCCUUACGUCCGGGGCUACACACGUGUUACAAUGGGGGGUACAGAAGGCAGCUAGCGGGUGACCGUAUGCUAAUCCCAAAAUCCUCUCUCAGUUCGGAUCGAAGUCUGCAACCCGACUUCGUGAAGCUGGAUUCGCUAGUAAUCGCGCAUCAGCCACGGCGCGGUGAAUACGUUCCCGGGCCUUGUACACACCGCCCGUCAAGCCAUGGGAGCCGGGGGUACCUGAAGUACGUAACCGCAAGGAUCGUCCUAGGGUAAAACUGGUGACUGGGGC